GCGGGAGUAACUCAGCGGUAGAGUGCCACCUUGCCAAGGUGGACGUCGAGAGUUCGAAUCUCUUCUCCCGCU
rnacentral:tRNA from 1 species